rnacentral:lncRNA from 1 species
CUGCUCUGCACAAUAUAGCAACCCGCCGCCUUGACUUCAGAUCUUGCCGAGCAGAGUUGAGUCCGGCCGCCAUCCCGGGAGUCGCUGUCCAUCAUCCGUACCGACGUUACGUUUCUGAGCCUCGGCCGAGCCUCGUGUCCUGGAAGCAGCUGUCGUCAUCAACAUCACCUCCCACACCGGAAUGUCACGCUGUGCCCAACCGCAAGCCAUAGUCGAGGCGAGCACGCAGGUCGCUGCAUCCUUCAGCAGCAGUGGCCGAUUCCUAGUUGCUAGCUUGAUACGUCAUGGUGACCACGUGGUGAUGUCACAUGAAUUUGUUGCCGUUUUCCUUUAGAAAAAUAAAUCUAAAAAUCCAAAGAAAAUACACUAGUUAGUUUAUGCCAUAUCUUCUCUGUUUUAACUUCGUUUUAUCCUAUUCAAGUUACGUUAGCUUCAUAAUGAUGUAAAUUACGCGUUAGUAAUAAUGUUUCUCAUGUCACGUGAUUAUGAUUUUAUUAAUUUAUUAACUGCUAAAUUGAUUAACAUUUUUGCAAUCGGAUUUAUGAUAAAAGGCCCUAUAACU